CUUCUCCUCGUACUCCCUGUACCUGGCGUAGUGGUCGGACACGAUGAACCCUUCGAUCCGGAGCCGCUUCGUGACGAUGGCCGUCAGGUUGUGGACGGGGUCGGGGUGCUCCAGGUUGUACUGCGAGAUCAUCCCGCAGGCCGCGACGCGGCCGCGCACCCGCAUGUUGAGCAGCACGGCGUCCAGCAUCGCGCCGCCCACGUUUUCGAAGUAGAUGUCGAUCCCUUCCGGGAAGCACCGCUUCAGGGCCGCGCUCAGGUCACUCUCCUUCUUGUAGUUGAAGGCGUCGUCGAAGCCGAACUUCUCCCUGAGCAGCCUCACCUUGUCGUCGGAGCCGGCGCUCCCGACGACGUAGCAGCCCAUGAGCUUGGCGAACUGUCCCACCAGCUGCCCCACGGCGCCCGACGCGGCGGAGACGUACACCCUCUCGCCUUCCCUUGGCGCGCAUAUCUCGUGGAACCCGACGUACGCCGUGAAGCCCGCCAUGCCUGAAACAGAUUAUGAAAUUAAUUAAUCGUCGGCCAUGGAUGCUGAUCUGCUAAUCAAUCGCGGCAUGCAUGGUUCAAUUCGUACCGAGGAGGCCGGUGUAGUAGGAGAGCGGCAGGUCGGGAUGGCGGAUGGCGAAGAGGGCCCUGCUGGGAUCCUUGAUGAGGCUGUACUCCUCCCAUCCCGUCAUUCCCCACACGAGGUCGCCGGCUUUGAAC
rnacentral:lncRNA from 1 species